rnacentral:misc_RNA from 1 species
GAUGAAGAACGCAGCGAAAUGCGAUAAGUAAUGUGAAUUGCAGAAUUCAGUGAAUCAUCGAAUCUUUGAACGCACAUUGCGCCCGCCAGCAUUCUGGCGGGCAUGCCUGUUCGAGCGUCAUUUCAACCCUCAAGCUCUGCUUGGUGUUGGGGCCCUACGGUUGACGUAGGCCCUUAAAGGUAGUGGCGGACCCUCUCGGAGCCUCCUUUGCGUAGUAACUAACGUCUCGCAUUGGGAUUCGGAGGGACUCUUGCCGUAAAACCCCCAAAUUUUCUAAUGGUUGACCUCGGAUCAGGUAGGAAUACCCGCUGAACUUAAGCAUAUCAAUGCGGAGGA